rnacentral:rRNA from 1 species
CCUACGGGUGGCAGCAGUGGGGAAUAUUGGACAAUGGGGGCAACCCUGAUCCAGCCAUGCCGCGUGUGUGAAGAAGGCCCUCGGGUUGUAAAGCACUUUCAGUGAGGAAGAACGCCUGGUGGUUAAUACCCAUCAGGAAAGACAUCACUCACAGAAGAAGCACCGGCUAACUCCGUGCCAGCAGCCGCGGUAAUACGGAGGGUGCGAGCGUUAAUCGGAAUUACUGGGCGUAAAGCGCGCGUAGGUGGCUUGAUAAGCCGGUUGUGAAAGCCCCGGGCUCAACCUGGGAACGGCAUCCGGAACUGUCAAGCUAGAGAGCAGGAGAGGAAGGUAGAAUUCCCGGUGUAGCGGUGAAAUGCGUAGAGAUCGGGAGGAAUACCAGUGGCGAAGGCGGCCUUCUGGACUGACACUGACACUGAGGUGCGAAAGCGUGGGUAGCAAACAGGAUUAGAUACCCCGGUAGUC